AUCUCGCUGCCCUACGCCCUGUUCACGGCCUCCGGCGUCGUCGUGCAGGAUGGGCGAUUCAGCUAUCAGAACCUGUUCGACGCCAUCGUCGACGCGGUCUUCGCGGCGCUGGAGAGAGUGGGAGGGGCGAACGUGGCGGUGGUGGUGUCGGAGAGCGGGUGGCCGUCGGCGGGCGGAGGAGCCGAAGCGAGCACCAGCAACGCGCGGACGUACAACCAGAACUUGAUCAGGCAUGUUGGCGGAGGAACGCCGAGGAGACCAGGGAAGGAGAUCGAGGCGUACAUAUUCGAGAUGUUCAACGAGAACCAGAAGGCUGGAGGGAUCGAGCAGAACUUUGGCCUGUUUUAUCCCAACAAGCAGCCCGU
rnacentral:lncRNA from 1 species